rnacentral:lncRNA from 1 species
CUCCCGAUCCCUGGGGUUCACUGCCGUUCACCUUUAAGCCCUGGGAACAGCUUCUGCUUGUGCCCAGCACUGCUGGAAUCCCAAUUGUCCCGGUCCAGCUGCUCCACAAGCACAUGGAGAGCCCAAGCAGCACGCUUGGGAAGCAGCUCGGGCAGUGAAACCGUCCCCUUGGGGUGACAGCAGGAGGGCAAAGAGCCCCAAUAGCGCAGGUUUGCCUUUGCCUUCACCUCCAAGGGGGGGAAAGCUCUGCCAGGACGCGAGCUGGAGCGUUUCUAACCAGCCCUGAGCCUGCCCUAAUAACGUUUUAGGCGGUGGUAACAACGUCAGAGCAACCGGGGCUGAAACCAACGGAGAGGCCGGAGCAGGGAGAGGAAAAGACCCCCGAGGUGGGGGGGAAACAUCAGCUUUGAUUGGGUUUGAAGCUGAAAACUCCAAGUCCUGGGGUUGGUGCUUGGGGAAGGGCUGGAGGCCGAGGAGCACCUGCGGGUGCUGCCGGAUGGGAGGAGAGAGCCGUUGGUUUACAAUACCCUGGUGUUAUAUAUCCCCUGAUAGAGGAGCAGCUGCUCCGGGUUCCACCAGGAUCAGCCGGUUCUAUUAGCAGAGCUUUCGAGCUCCAUGGGAGUGGAAAGGAGGGAGAAGGAGGUUGGGGGGGGGGGGGGGGCACAGAGAGGUUUCUGUCUUAAGGCAGCGAUGGAGGCACGCAAAUGGAGGCGGCGCUGACCGUGCUGCGGACUCGCGUCUUCGCCUCGGUGACUCCUCAAUAACACGCGAACACCCAUCGGGAUCCCGCUGCAGAGCUCGGGAUCAGGAACGGCAGAUCCGAGAUGAAGGUUUCAGCAGGUCGGUAAAACCAGGCCACGCCGCUUUAAGUAUUUUUAGCAGGAAUCUGCAAGGUCAUUCCCACCGCGCUCCCCGUGAGGGUCCCUCCUCCGUGCAGCUUCCAGCCCGGCUCAGGCACAGCAGUGCUCACUCCACAGGCUGCAGGGGCUCAGCAGGGCAGGAGCUGCCUGCUCCCUUCGGUGGGUAAAGGAGGGCUCACACCCUG